rnacentral:misc_RNA from 1 species
UAUGGGUCCCCGCCUUCGCGGGGACGACACUGAAGGCGUCAUGCGCAUCGUGCUUCAUCUCCUUGUUUAGAUGUGCGCCAUCGCCCCUGUUGUUGUGACGGCGUCGCGCGCGGGGCUUGCCCCGUUCGCGCCAAAGACAACCCGCGCCACCAGCGGCCACGCGCCAUCGCCCCUGUUGUUAUGACGGCGCGGGGGCGCCCGAAUUCCUUUCAUCGCCUCGCCCUUCAAUGAGGGCGCGCGGAACGCCGGAUGCGCGAGCGCAUCCGCAGCCCCGUGUGCAAAAGUGAAAAGCACACGAGCAUAGUCACCACGAACACGCCGAAAUCAUCCGGCGUUCCGCACGCAAUGGUUGGAACGGCCUGUUUCGCGCUCUCCCCGGUGGACGGGCUCUUUCGCCACCGUUCUGGAAACUACGAUCUUCCGCCUUCUUCGCGAACGAAGCGACGGCUCGCUGUCUCCGUUCGACGCCAGCAUCGCGGCGCCAGGACCACACGACUUCAACCGUCCGCGAGCUGCGCUGUCGUCAUCCGGCGCACUUUUCAUGUGCCGGAUCUGACGCCGCACGCGGCCACCGCAUCCCGCCCCGCGUAUCGUGA